UUUAACUGAGCGUUCAGUUACUUGACGUAGACCCGAAACCGGGCGACCUACCCAUGAGCAGGAUGAAGCGAAAGUAAAAUUUCGUGGAGGUCCGAACCCACGAGCGUUGAAAAGCUCGGGGAUGACUUGUGGGUAGCGGUGAAAUUCCAAUCGAGCCCGGAGAUAGCUGGUUCUCCCCGAAAUAGCUUUAGGGCUAGCCUCAAGGUGAGAGAUACGGAGGUAGAGCACUGAAUGUCCUAGGGGGUAUUGCACCUACCGAAGACUAUCAAACUCCGAAUGCCGUCAUCUUAUACUUGGGAGUCAGACUGUGGGUGAUAAGAUUCAUAGUCGAAAGGGCAACAGCCCAGAUCGUCAGCUAAGGUCCCUAAAUGUAAGUUAAGUGGUAAAGGAUGUGGGAUUGCACAGACAACCAGGAUGUUGGCUUAGAAGCAGCCACUCAUUCAAAGAGUGCGUAAUAGCUCACUGGUCGAGUGAUCCUGCGCCGAAGAUUUCCGGGGCUAAAACUUACUACCGAAGCUACGGCAUCAGUAAUGAUGGGUAGGGGAGCUUCCCAUACGGGUUGAAGCAUGACCGUAAGGACAUGUGGACAGUAUGGGAGUGAGAAUGUUGGCAUGAGUAGCGAGAUGUGGGUGAGAAUCCCACAGGCCGUAAACCCAAGGUUUCCAGGGGAAGGUUCGUCCGCCCUGGGUUAGUCGGGACCUAAGCUGAGGCCGAAAGGCGUAGGUGAUGGACAACAGGUUGAUAUUCCUGUACUACCGAUAACCGUUUGAGAGAAGGGAUGACACAGUAGGAUAAGCUAAGCACACUGUUGGUUAUGUGUGCCCAAGCAUUGAGGCAGUCAAAGUAGGCAAAUCCGCUUUGAUAAUGCUAGGAUGUGAUGGGGAGCGAAAUUUAGUAGCGAAGUAGCUGAUUUCACACUGUCAAGAAAAGUCUCUAUCGAGGUUAAAGGUACCCG
rnacentral:rRNA from 1 species